GCCCAGAUGGCGGAAUUGGUAGACGCGCCAGCUUCAGGUGCUGGUCUAUAUUAUAUAGGUGGAGGUUCAAGUCCUCUUCUGGGCACCA
rnacentral:tRNA from 1 species